rnacentral:rRNA from 1 species
AGUGAAUAAUUAAACGGCCGCGGUACCCUAACCGUGCAAAGGUAGCAUAAUCAUUUGUCUAUUAAUUGUAGACCAGUAUGAAAGGCAAAAUGAGGGUCUAACUGUCUCUUAUAGUAAAUCAAUUAAACUGAUCCCCUAGUAAAAAAGCUAGAAUAUCCUCAUAAGACCAGAAGACCCUGUGAAGCUUAAACUAAACUACUAAAACAUAUAGUAACUACUUUCGGUUGGGGCGACCUUGGAAAAAAAAAGAACUUCCAAAUACAAUGACUAUAAACCAUUACACGGCCCACAAGCCCACAAUUUAGACCCAGCAUGGCUGACAAUUGAACCAAGUUACUCCAGGGAUAACAGCGCCAUCUUCUUCAAGAGUCCAUAUCAAAAAGAAGGUUUACGACCUCGAUGUUGGAUCAGGACAUCCUAA